UUGCUUGUUUCAGUAGCACAUAUCCUGAAAUUGAAACAGUACAGAGAAGAUAGCAAGGUCCCUGUGCAAGGAUGACACAUAAGAAUUAAUUUGAAUAAUAAUGUAUU
rnacentral:snRNA from 1 species